rnacentral:rRNA from 1 species
GAUGAACGCUGGCGGCGUGCCUAAUACAUGCAAGUCGAGCGAACGGACGAGAAGCUUGCUUCUCUGAUGUUAGCGGCGGACGGGUGAGUAACACGUGGAUAACCUACCUGUGAGACUGGGAUAACUUCGGGAAACCGGAGCUAAUACCGGAUAAUAUUUUGAACCGCAUGGUUCAAAAGUGAAAGACGGUCUUGCUGUCACUUAUAGAUGGAUCCGCGCUGCAUUAGCUAGUUGGUAAGGUAACGGCUUACCAAGGCAACGAUGCAUAGCCGACCUGAGAGGGUGAUCGGCCACACUGGAACUGAGACACGGUCCAGACUCCUACGGGAGGCAGCAGUAGGGAAUCUUCCGCAAUGGGCGAAAGCCUGACGGAGCAACGCCGCGUGAGUGAUGAAGGUCUUCGGAUCGUAAAACUCUGUUAUUAGGGAAGAACAUAUGUGUAAGUAACUGUGCACAUCUUGACGGUACCUAAUCAGAAAGCCACGGCUAACUACGUG